AACGAACGCUGGCGGCAGGCCUAACACAUGCAAGUCGAACGCCCCGCAAGGGGAGUGGCGGACGGGUGAGUAACGCGUGGGAACCUACCUUAUGGUGCGGAAUAACUCCGGGAAACCGGCGCUAAUACCGCAUAAGCCCUCCGGGGGAAAGAUUUAUCGCCAUUAGAUGGGCCCGCGCCGGAUUAGCUUGUUGGUGAGGUAAUGGCUCACCAAGGCUACGAUCCGUAGCUGGUCUGAGAGGAUGAUCAGCCACACUGGGACUGAGACACGGCCCAGAAUCCUCCGGGAGGCAGCAGUGGGGAAUAUUGGACAAUGGGCGCAAGCCUGAUCCAGCCAUGCCGCGUGAGUGAAGAAGGCCUUAGGGUUGUAAAGCUCUUUCGGCGGGGAAGAUAAUGACGGUACCCGCAGAAGAAGCCCCGGCUAACUUCGUGCCAGCCGCCGCCGUAAUAC
rnacentral:rRNA from 1 species